AGCGAACGCUGGCGGCAGGCCUAACACAUGCAAGUCGAACGGAUCCUUCGGGAUUAGUGGCGGACGGGUGAGUAACACGUGGGAACGUGCCCUUUGGUUCGGAACAACUCAGGGAAACUUGAGCUAAUACCGGAUGUGCCCUUCGGGGGAAAGAUUUAUCGCCAUUGGAGCGGCCCGCGUCUGAUUAGCUAGUUGAUGAGGUAACGGCCCACCAAGGCGACGAUCAGUAGCUGGUCUGAGAGGAUGAUCAGCCACACUGGGACUGAGACACGGCCCAGACUCCUACGGGAGGCAGCAGUGGGGAAUCUUGCGCAAUGGGCGAAAGCCUGACGCAGCCAUGCCGCGUGAAUGAUGAAGGUCUUAGGAUUGUAAAAUUCUUUCAGCGGGGACGAUAAUGACGGUACCCGCAGAAGAAGCUCCGGCUAACUUCGUG
rnacentral:rRNA from 1 species